rnacentral:rRNA from 1 species
GAUGAACGCUGGCGGUCUGCUUAACACAUGCAAGUCGAACGGAACCCUUCGGGGUUUAGUGGCGGACGGGUGAGUAACACGUAAGAACCUGCCUCUAGGACGGGGACAACAGUUGGAAACGACUGCUAAACCCGGAUGAGCCGAAAGGUAAAAGAUUUAUCGCCUAGAGAGGGGCUUGCGUCUGAUUAGCUAGUUGGUAAGGUAAAGGCUUACCAAGGCGACGAUCAGUAGCUGGUCUGAGAGGAUGAUCAGCCACACUGGGACUGAGACACGGCCCAGACUCCUACGGGAGGCAGCAGUGGGGAAUUUUCCGCAAUGGGCGAAAGCCUGACGGAGCAAGACCGCGUGGGGGAGGAAGGUUCUUGGAUUGUCAACCCCUUUUCUCAGGGAAGAAGCUCUGACGGUACCUGAGGAAUAAGCAUCGGCUAACUCCGUG